rnacentral:tRNA from 1 species
GGAAGCGUGCCUGAAACCAAAGGACCACUUUGAUAGAGUGGAUCAUGGAGGUUAAAACCCUCCCACUUCCU